rnacentral:rRNA from 1 species
GUGCCAGCAGCCGCGGUAAUACGUAGCGUGGCAAGCGUUGUCCGGAAUUAUUGGGCGUAAAGCGCGCGCAGGCGGUCCUUUAAGUCUGAUGUGAAAGCCCACGGCUCAACCGUGGAGGGUCAUUGGAAACUGGAGGACUUGAGUGCAGAAGAGGAAAGUGGAAUUCCAUGUGUAGCGGUGAAAUGCGUAGAGAUGUGGAGGAACACCAGUGGCGAAGGCGACUUUCUGGUCUGUAACUGACGCUGAGGCGCGAAAGCGUGGGGAGCAAACAGGAUUAGAUACCCUGGUAGUCC